rnacentral:pre_miRNA from 1 species
CUAGUACUUCCUUUGUCCUGAUUUUUUUAUCUUAGAUUUGUUUAGAUAUGAAUGUAUCUAGUUAUAUUUUAUUAUUUAGAUACAUUCAUUUCUAGACCAUUCUGAGACAAGAAUUUUGAAACGGAUGGAGUAUACU